CACGUAGGGCGCAAGCGUUGUCCGGAAUUAUUGGGCGUAAAGAGCUCGUAGGCGGUCUGUUGCGUCCGCUGUGAAAACCCGGGGCUUAACCCUGGGCUUGCAGUGGAUACGGGCAGACUAGAGGCAGGUAGGGGAGAAUGGAAUUCCCGGUGUAGCGGUGAAAUGCGCAGAUAUCAGGAGGAACACCGGUGGCGAAGGCGGGUCUCUGGGCCGUAACUGACGCUGAGACGCGAAAGCGUGGGGAGCGAACAGG
rnacentral:rRNA from 1 species